AGAGUUUGAUCAUGGCUCAGAACGAACGUUAGCGGCGCGCCUAACACAUGCAAGUCGCACGAGAAAGGGCUUCGGCCCCGGUACAGUGGCGCACGGGUGAGUAACACGUGGGUAACGUUCCCUCUGGCGGGGGAUAACCUUCCGAAAGGAGGGCUAAUACCGCAUAAGACCACGGCUUCGAAGGAAGCUGAGGUAAAAGC
rnacentral:rRNA from 1 species